rnacentral:rRNA from 1 species
AGAACGAACGCUGGCGGCAUGCCUAACACAUGCAAGUCGAACGAGACCUUCGGGUUUAGUGGCGCACGGGUGCGUAACGCGUGGGAAUCUGCCCUUGGGUUCGGAAUAACAGUUGGAAACGACUGCUAAUACCGGAUGAUGACGUAAGUCCAAAGAUUUAUCGCCCAGGGGUGAGCCCGCGUAGGAUUAGCUAGUUGGUGAGGUAAAGGCUCACCAAGGCGACGAUCCUUAGCUGGUCUGAGAGGAUGAUCAGCCACACUGGGACUGAGACACGGCCCAGACUCCACGGGAGGCAGCAGUGGGGAAUAGUUGGACAAGUGGGACGAAAGCCUAGACUCCAGCAAUGACCGCGUGAGUGAUGAAGGCUUAGGUGUAAAGCGUUACUUUACCGGGAAGUAUAAUGACGU